GAUGAACGCUGGCGGCGUGCCUAAUACAUGCAAGUCGAGCGAACAGACGAGGAGCUUGCUCCUCUGACGUUAGCGGCGGACGGGUGAGUAACACGUGGAUAACCUACCUAUAAGACUGGGAUAACUUCGGGAAACCGGAGCUAAUACCGGAUAAUAUAUUGAACCGCAUGGUUCAAUAGUGAAAGACGGCUUUGCUGUCACUUAUAGAUGGAUCCGCGCCGCAUUAGCUAGUUGGUAAGGUAACGGCUUACCAAGGCAACGAUGCGUAGCCGACCUGAGAGGGUGAUCAGCCACACUGGAACUGAGACACGGUCCAGACUCCUACGGGAGGCAGCAGUAGGGAAUCUUCCGCAAUGGGCGAAAGCCUGACGGAGCAACGCCGCGUGAGUGAUGAAGGUCUUCGGAUCGUAAAACUCUGUUAUUAGGGAAGAACAAAUGUGUAAGUAACUAUGCACGUCUUGACGGUACCUAAUCAGAAAGCCACGGCUAACUACGUG
rnacentral:rRNA from 1 species